UGGCUGCAGACCAAGCUUAGAGCCACAACAGUCAGUCAGCAUAUGAAGAGUAUGUCAGUGGAACCCAUUCAGGUCUUCGUUGUGCCGACUGUGACCCAGGCACCACCACUGUGACUACAAAGCAACCGGAGGACCACCGUUGUGUGGUGGAUAGACUGGGAAACAGCACAAAGGGGACCCUGAAAAGCACCACCACCGAGGGAGCCUCAGCACUGGCUGGCCUUCAUGAUGUGCCUAGUGCAUGCUUUGUUCUCA